AAACAGGAUUAGAUACCCUGGUAGUCACGCUGUAAACGAUGUCGAUUUGGAGUUUGUUGCCUAGAGUGAUGGGCUCCGAAGCUAACGCGAUAAAUCGACCGCCUGGGGAGUACGGCCGCAAGGUUAAAACUCAAAUGAAUUGACGGGGGCCCGCACAAGCGGUGGAGCAUGUGGUUUAAUUCGAUGCAACGCGAAGAACCUUACCUGGUCUUGACAUCCAUAGAAUUCUGCAGAGAUGUGGGAGUGCCUUCGGGAACUAUGAGACAGGUGCUGCAUGGCUGUCGUCAGCUCGUGUUGUGAAAUGUUGGGUUAAGUCCCGCAACGAGCGCAACCCUUAUUCUUUGUUGCCAGCGAUUUGGUCGGGAACUCAAAGGAGACUGCCGUUGAUAAAGCGGAGGAAGGUGGGGACGACGUCAAGUCAUCAUGGCCCUUACGACCAGGGCUACACACGUGCUACAAUGGCGUAUACAAGGGGAAGCGAAGGUGCGAGCUGGAGCGGAUCUCAUAAAGUACGUCUAAGUUCGGAUUGGAGUCUGCAACUCGACUCCAUGAAGUCGGAAUCGCUAGUAAUCGUAGAUCAGAAUGCUACGGUGAGUACGUUCCCGGGCCUUGUACACACCGCCCGUCACACCAUGGGAGUGGGUUGCACCAGAAGUAGAUAGCUUAACCGCGAGGGGGGCGUUUACCACGGUGUGAUUCAUGACUGGGGUGAAGUCGUAACAAGGUAACCA
rnacentral:rRNA from 1 species